rnacentral:rRNA from 1 species
AAAGGAAUUGACGGGGACCCGCACAAGCAGCGGAGCGUGUGGUUUAAUUCGUUGCUACACGAAGAACCUUACCUGGGUUUGACAUAUAGGUUGUAGGGAACUGGAAAGGGACCGACCCUUCGGGGAGCCUAUACAGGUGUUGCAUGGCUGUCGUCAGCUCGUGUCGUGAGAUGUUCGGUUAAGUCCGCUAACGAGCGCAACCCUCGUCGUAUGUUAUAUGUGUCAUACGAGACUGCCGGUAAAAGCCGGAGGAAGGUGAGGAUGAUGUCAAGUCAGCAUGACCUUUAUAUCCAGGGCUACACACACGCUACAAUGGUCUGUACAAUGGGUAGCCAAGCCGCGAGGCGGAGCCAAUCCUGAAAGCAGGCCUCAGUUCAGAUUGCAGUCUGCAACUCGACUGCAUGAAGCCGGAGUUGCUAGUAACCGCAGGUCAGCAAUACUGCGGUGAAUACGUUCCCGGGUCUU